rnacentral:rRNA from 1 species
AGAGUUUGAUCCUGGCUCAGGACGAACGCUGGCGGCGUGCCUAAUACAUGCAAGUCUAACGAGAACGUCCCCUUCGGGGGGCUAUUAAAGUGGCGAACGGGUGAGUAACACGUAGGCAACCUGCCCUCGGGCGUGGAAUAACUCUGCUAACGCGGGGCUAAUACCACAUAAUGCAGUGAAUCCGCAUGGAUAUAUUGUUAAAGCGGGGGAUCCUUCGGGACCUCGUGCCUGAGGAUGGGCCUGCGGUCCAUUAGUUUGUUGGUGAGGUAACGGCUCACCAAGACAUCGAUGGAUAGCCGACCUGAGAGGGUGAUCGGCCACACUGGGACUGAGAUACGGCCCAGACUCCUACGGGAGGCAGCAGUAAGGGAUAUUGCGCAAUGGCCUAACGGCUGACGCAGCAACGCCGCGUGACUGAUGAAGCUCUAAGGAGUGUAAAGGUCUGUUAGGGGGAAAGAACAGCGCCGAGGUUAAUAAUUUCGGCGUCUGACGGUACCUCCAGAGAAAGCACCGGCUAACUCCGUGCCAGCAGCCGCGGUAAUACGGGGGGUGCAAGCGUUGUCCGGAAUCACUGGGCGUAAAGGGUGGGUAGGCGGAUCGGUAAGUCCGGCGUGCAAUGUGUCUGCUUAACAGGCAAACUGCGUCGGAUACUGCCAAUCUUGAGUCACGUAGAGGAAGGUGGAAUUCCUGGUGUAGCGGUGAAAUGUGUAGAUGUCAGGAAGAACACCGGUAGCGAAGGCGGCCUUCUGGACGUUGACUGACGCUGAGCCACGAAAGCGUGGGGAGCAAACAGGAUUAGAUACCCUGGUAGUCCACGCCGUAAACGAUGAACACUAGGUGUUGGGGGGCUUAUACCUUUCAGUGCCGAAGCUAACGCAUUAAGUGUUCCGCCUGGGGAGUACGAUCGCAAGGUUGAAACUCAAAGGAAUUGACGGGGGCCCGCACAAGCGGUGGAGCAUGUGGUUUAAUUCGAUGCAACGCGAAAAACCUUACCGGGGUUUGAAAAGCAGUGGCCAUCCCAGGAAACUGGGCUCCCUUUGGGGCCGCUGUACAGGUGCUGCAUGGCUGUCGUCAGCUCGUGUCGUGAGAUGUUGGGUUAAGUCCCGCAACGAGCGCAACCCUUGUCCUUAGUUGCCAUCAGUUCGGCUGGGAACUCUAAGGAGACUGCCGACCCUUAAGUCGGAGGAAGGUGGGGAUGACGUCAAGUCCUCAUGGCCCUUACAUCCCGGGCUACACACGUGCUACAAUGGCCGGUACAAUGGGUCGCAAUACCGUGAGGUGGAGCAAAUCCCAAAAAAACCGGUCUCAGUUCGGAUCGGAGUCUGCAACUCGACUCCGUGAAGUUGGAAUCGCUAGUAAUCGCGGAUCAGCAUGCCGCGGUGAAUACGUUCCCGGGCCUUGUACACACCGCCCGUCACGCCAUGGAAGUCGGGAGUGCCCGAAGUCGCUGUUUCAACCCUGAGCAAUCAGGGGGAGACUCGCCGAAGGUAAGCCUGAUGACUGGGGCGAAGUCGUAACAAGGUA